rnacentral:tRNA from 1 species
CACUAAGAAGCUGAAGCAGGGACAGCGUUAGCCUUUUAAGCUAAAGAUCGGUGGCUCCUAACCACCCUUAGUGG